rnacentral:rRNA from 1 species
CACGUAGGGCGCGAGCGUUGUCCUGAAUUAUUGGGCGUAAAGAGCUCGUAGGCGGCCUGUUGCGUCCGCUGUGAAAGCCCGGGGCUUAACCCCGGGUCGGCAGUGGAUACGGGCAGGCUAGAGGUAGGUAGGGGAGAAUGGAAUUCCCGGUGUAGCGGUGAAAUGCGCAGAUAUCGGGAGGAACACCGGUGGCGAAGGCGGUUCUCUGGGCCUUACCUGACGCUGAGGAGCGAAAGCGUGGGGAGCGAACAGG